AGAAUUCCCCCCUUGAGUUUCCCCCCUUUAAAAAGGAUUGAACUCUGGCGGCAGGCCUAACCCCUGCAAGUCGAGCGGAGACGAGUUAACUGAACCUUCGGGGAACGUUAACGGCGUCGAGCGGCGGACGGGUGAAUAAUGCCUGGGAAAUUGCCCUGAUGUGGGGGAUAACCAUUGAAAACGAUGGCUAAUACCGCAUAAUAUCUUCGGCUCAAAGGGGGGGACCUUCGGGCCUCUCGCGUCAGGAUAUGCCCAGGUGGGAUUAGCUAGUUGGUGAGGUAAUGGCUCACCAAGGCGACCAUCCCUAGCUGGUCUGAGAGGAUGAUCAGCCACACUGGAACUGACACACGGUCCACACUCCUACGGGAGGCAGCAGUGAGGAAUAUUGCACAAUGGGCGCAAGCCUGAUGCAGCCAUGCCGCGUGUAUGAAGAAGUCUUCGGGUUGUAAAGUACUUUAGAAGUGAGGAAGUGGAUAUGUUAAUAGAUAUUAUUUGAGUUA
rnacentral:rRNA from 1 species